rnacentral:rRNA from 1 species
CAUUCCCUCUGGCGGUAGGCCUAACACAUGCAAGUCGAACGGCAGCACAGUAAGAGCUUGCUCUUACGGGUGGCGAGUGGCGGACGGGUGGGGAAUAAAUCGGAAUCUACUUCUUCGUGGGGGAUAACGUCGGGAAACUUACGCUAAUACCGCAUAUGACCUAUGUGUGAAAGCAGGGGUUCUUCGAACCUUGCGCGAUUGAAUGAGACGAUGUCGGAUUAGCUAGUUGUCGGGGUAAAGGUAUACCAAGGCGACGAUGCGGAGCUGAUCUGAGAGGAUGGUCGACCGCACUGGUACGGAGGCGCGGUCCAGACGCCUACGGGGGGAGGCAGUGGGGAAUAUUAGACAAUGGUGGCAAGCCGGAUCCAGCCGUGCCGCGGGGGUGAAGAUGGACUUCUGGUGGUUGAGCCCUUUUGUUGGGAGAGAAAAGCAGCAGGUUAAUACCCCGCUGUUCUGACGGUAGCCAAAGAAGAAGCACCGGCUAACUUCGUG